AACGAACGCUGGCGGCAUGCCUAACACAUGCAAGUCGAACGAGACCUUCGGGUCUAGUGGCGCACGGGUGCGUAACGCGUGGGAACCUGCCCUUAGGUUCGGAAUAACUCCCCGAAAGGGGUGCUAAUACCGGUUAAUGUCUUCGGACCAAAGAGUUAUCGCCUUUGGAUGGGCCCGCGUUGGAUUAGCUAGUUGGUAGGGUAAAAGCCUACCAAGGCGACGAUCCAUAGCUGGUCGGAGAGGAUGAUCAGCCACACUGGGACUGAGACACGGCCCAGACUCCGACGGGAGGCAGCAGUAGGGAGUAUUGGACGAGGGGCGAAAGCCUGAUCCAGCAAUGCCGCGUGAGUGAUGAAGGCCUUAGGGUUGUAAAGCUCUUUUACCCGGGAUGAUAAUGACAGUACCGGGAGAAUAAGCUCCGGCUAACUCCGUG
rnacentral:rRNA from 1 species